AUGCAGUAGGAAGGUGGGAGAAGGCCUCAGCUAAACUGAAACUGAAGAGAAAAAGAGAAAUGCACUUGCACCACUGAAACCUGGAUCCAUAGAAGGAGGUAUGGGUUUUAGCUGCUCAAGUUUCCUUUGAAAAUGGGUUAGUCAAGAACACAUCUUGGUUUUAAGAAUAGCUGCUCAAUGAGAGAGAGCGGUGUAAAUGUUAUCUUUAUUUCAGGUGCCUAUGUGGUGGUGCUGGGUUGGCACACAUUCCUGAUGGGGUUCCUGGAGCACAACCAGCCUGAAGCUGGUCCCUAAAGCAGCUCCUGUGCAGGCUCCUGGAUGCACGUGAGGAGCCUCUGGCUUUUCGUUCUCUCUGAAGUGGCCUCCCUGCAGGUUAAAAACAGGACUCUGGGAAGGAGUACGGUCCCGAAACCCAAUUUUGUAAUGUUUUUAACUUGUCUUACUGCUUGAGGAGAAGCCUUCAGGGAGGUGUUAUCUAUAAAUGCUCACCCUCACAGGUUCAAAUGCCUCUAUGUAUCCUUGUUUGUGGGUGGGCUUCUUAUUUUUAUUUGCUUGCUUUGUUUUUAAUCUGGAUAUUUCUGAUACGUAAAUUGACCUGGAUCACAUCUGCACAUAGUAGAUACAACGUGUUUAAUAUUAAAAUACAAAUUUUAGGUGUGAUGAGCUGGACCCCAAGUUAAAAUUUCCUUUGCAAGGGUUCUACAUAAACUUUUUUUUCCUCUCUUUUUUUCCUAUCUCUUUUUUUCUCCACCCGUAAUUCUUGUCAUUGUUCUGGGAUCACUUUUAUUUUGCCAUUACAGCUAGGAAUAUGGCCAUGGUGUUUGGCUAGCCCACCAGUUCUGGAGGGAGCACAUUUACUGAAAUAAAGAUUGGUAGGUAUUCCUGAAGUUAUCCCUAGGACCUUGGUCAAUCUUUAAUGAGUAGGCCUGAGACAGCAAAUCCUGAAGUAAAGGGGACCAUUUCUAUCGGAACAUCAAAUGUAUUAAGCUGUCAUCCCAAGACAAGUAUGGACAUACAAAGUUGAUAUUUCC